rnacentral:rRNA from 1 species
GACGAACGCUGGCGGCGUGCUUAACACAUGCAAGUCGAACGGUGAUCCGCUUUCGGGCGGGGAUCAGUGGCGAACGGGUGAGUAACACGUGGGUAACCUGCCCUGCACUCUGGGAUAACUCCGGGAAACCGGGGCUAAUACCGGAUACGAGCCUGGUCUGCAUGGACCGGGUUGGAAAGUUUUUCGGUGCAGGAUGGACCCGCGGCCUAUCAGCUUGUUGGUGGGGUAAUGGCCCACCAAGGCGAUGACGGGUAGCCGGCCUGAGAGGGCGACCGGC